rnacentral:rRNA from 1 species
CACGCCGCGUGAGGGAUGAAGGCCUCUGGGCUGUAAACCUCUUUUAUCAAGGAAGAAGAUCUGACGGUACUUGAUGAAUAAGCCACGGCUAAUUCCGUGCCAGCAGCCGCGGUAAUACGGGAGUGGCAAGCGUUAUCCGGAAUUAUUGGGCGUAAAGCGUCCGCAGGCGGUCUUGUAAGUCUGUCGUUAAAGCGUGGAGCUUAACUCCAUUUCGGCGGUGGAAACUACAAGACUAGAGUGUGGUAGGGGCAGAGGGAAUUCCCGGUGUAGCGGUGAAAUGCGUAGAUAUCGGGAAGAACACCAGUGGCGAAGGCGCUCUGCUGGGCCAUAACUGACGCUCAUGGACGAAAGCCAGGGGAGCGAAAGGGAUUAGAUACCCCUGUAGUCCUGGCCGUAAACGAUGAACACUAGGUGUCGGGGGAAUCGACCCCCUCGGUGUCGUAGCCAACGCGUUAAGUGUUCCGCCUGGGGAGUACGCACGCAAGUGUG